UCUACUUCUGUGAAUAUUCCAGGAUUCGUGUGCAGAUUUGAGUGAUAUGAAAAGAAUAAAAAGUUUGGAUAGAAUACAGAGGAUAUCUGAACAAAACUUGGAUAUCAAGUGUGCACCACUAAGUUUGAACGAAGCCCUUGAAAAUAUAUGUAUAUCGUAUUCACCCCUUCAUAGAACUCUACAUAAACUACAACUACCAACGAAGGAUUCUGAGUCAAAAGAAGCAUUAGAUUAUAAUGCAGUAGUAAUCACGUCAACUCCCGAAAUAUUAGAUAAAUCGGGAUUAGAUCCUGAAACAAUGGUAAAUUCCGGAUUGAAUCCCGAAACUAUCGUGGAUUCCGGAUUAGCUAAAGGAAAUAUAAAAUCUGAAGAACCAGCAAGAUACGUCCUUGGUCAUAGAAAAGCUUUCAGUCUUCCAAGAACCUUAGAGGUUGUAAACGAGGAUGGAUCCAUCUCACAUUAUCCUCUUCCUGAAGUUGAAUCCCCCCGAUCCACUCUUCAUAGAUACGGGAUGGUUCAGGUACCUGUCCGAGCAGAUAGAGAUGAUACUUGCUCUCUCUCUAGUCUCUCCAGCAUCACUGGGUUCAGUAGUGUCAGCAAUAUUGAGCAGAGAUCAGAAGCAUCUUCACAGGCCGAUUCUGGGAUUCAGUCUCAGAUCGGAUCAUCUACGUCGUCUUCCAAACCUGAAAAGAAAGGGUUGACUGAGAUCAUUAGUAAAGGAAUAUCAGCAAACUGGAGGAUUUUCUCCAAGUCUGGACAGCAGGUUGUCAAGUUGAUGCGGAGGCCAGAGUCCAGGGAGACCUCCAGCUUGGAGUCUGUGGCCUCUUUAACCUCCGUGGUGUCCUCGCAAAGCCUCAUCAUGGAGGAUAGACCUCCUGGACUCCCUGCUAAACAACCACAAGAAAAGGAGAAGCACUCCCAGGAGCUGCAGGCCCUCGUCAACUCCUUCAAGAAGAAGGAGAAGGUGGAGCAGGUAGAGAAGCAGAGAAGGCAUGCAGAACAAAGAAGACAGGAAGACGAUCUUUCAUCAGCUGUUAAUCAAUGGACAACCCAGAUUCUACCCAACUGGAGCACAAGCUGGCAGAGUAAGCGAACCCAAAACCUUUGGUGGAAGGGGUUACCGCCCCCGGUCAGGGGAAGAGUUUGGAAACUGGCUCUAGACAAUCAGCUGAACCUGACUCCCCAGCUCUACUCUAUUCUUGUUACUCGUGCUCGGGAUCAAAUACAGUUUUGGGAGAAGCAGGGGGGGCGGGCAGAGGAAUCACCAUCACGGAAACCCUGGCCCAGCUCCCCUUGUCGUGAGGAAACCCUGGAGCUCAUAUCUAUGGAUGUUUCUAGAACUUUUCCACAACUUUGCAUUUUUCAAAAGGGUGGUCCCUACUAUUCUUUACUUCACAAUGUACUCGGAGCUUAUGUUUGCUACAGGCCUGAUCUAGGAUAUGUACAGGGAAUGUCUUUUAUUGCGGCAAUCCUGAUCUUGAACCUGGAGGAGGAGGACGCUUUUAUCCUCUUCGCUAACCUCGUAAACCGACCUCCCCUGUCCUCUUUCUUCACAAUGGAUCAACCAAUGAUGGAAGGAUAUUAUUCUAGUUUUUCUCAGCUUCUCAGUAAUCAUCUUCCAGAGGUAUCAGAGCACCUAGAGAAGGUGGGAUUACAACCUGACAUGUACCUGUUAGACUGGAUUAUGACCCUCUAUGGACGGUCAGCCCCGUUAGAUCUUGCAUGCAGGAUUUGGGAUUUAAUGUUCCGAGAUGGUCAAGAUUUCAUUUUUAAAGCAGCACUUGGAAUUCUCUACACAUUCCAGGAUCGUAUACUGGCAGAGAAUGAUUUCACUGUGAUAGCUCAGUUUCUUUCAAAGCUUCCAGAUACACUUUCUCCAGAUACUCUUAUUAAUAAUAUACAGGAACUGAAUCUUCAACCUAGAAAUAAAACCUUUCCGUCCGUUUUCUCCCGGAUAUAGAUUUAUUAAACCGGAUAUGGAUUAUAUCAGCCGCCGGCAAGGAUUCUGAUCUAAAACACUUGGCAGAUCUGACCGGAUAUGGAUUAUUUAGACCGGAUAAGGAAUUAUCUUCUGUGAUAAGGGAUUGAUUAAUCAAUUGCAAUAAUGUGAUCAAUAAUUAUGAUUGACAGAAAAUGAUUUAAAAAUACUAGAUCUGAUCUAAAAAAUAUAAAGAUUAUAUUUUCAUAUAAUGAUCAA